rnacentral:rRNA from 1 species
GACGGAGGAUGCAAGCGUUAUCCGGAAUGAUUGGGCGUAAAGCGUCUGCAGGUGGCAGUUCAAGUCUGCUGUCGAAGACCGGGGCUUAACUUCGGAAGGGCAGUGGAAACUGAACAGCUAGAGUAUGGUAGGGGCAGAGGGAAUUCCUGGUGUAGCGGUGAAAUGCGUAGAGAUCAGGAAGAACAUCGGUGGCGAAGGCGCUCUACUGGGCCACUACUGACACUGAGAGACGAAAGCUAGGGGAGCAAAUGGG